AGAUUCUGAGGCUUGAUGUGUUCUGA
rnacentral:piRNA from 1 species